GAUAUUUGAUUUUGCAAUGUUAACUUUAAGGUAGGUAAGGUUUCAAAUAUCUUCUAGAUCUCGAGGACAUCUAUAUAAGAUUUAGAAUUAGUCUUAAAAGAUAAGAGGAUUUCAUUUGCAAACAUAAGGUGGGAGAUGUUUUCUUUAACAGACAUUAGAGAACAAGAAAAAAAGAUUUGUUUGAUGAUGAUAAAUAGGUAUAGAGAGAGGGAAUCUUUUU
rnacentral:lncRNA from 1 species